GGUAGGGUGGCUGAGUAAGCGGUGGAUUGUAGCCCCACACACAGAGGUUUAAGUCCUCUUCCUAUCA
rnacentral:tRNA from 1 species